UACAGAGGUGGCAAGCGUUGUUCGGAAUUACUGGGCGUAAAGGGCGCGUAGGCGGCCUACUAAGUCAGACGUGAAAUCCCCCGGCUUAACCUGGGAACUGCGUCUGAUACUGGAUGGCUUGAGUGUGGGAGAGGGAUGCGGAAUUCCAGGUGUAGCGGUGAAAUGCGUAGAUAUCCGGAGGAACACCUGUGGCGAAAGCGGCCACCUGGACGAGGACUGACGCUGAGGUGCGAAAGCGUGGGGAGCAAACAGG
rnacentral:rRNA from 1 species